rnacentral:rRNA from 1 species
GACGAACGCUGGCGGCGUGCUUAACACAUGCAAGUCGAACGGUGAAGCGCCUUCCUUUUUGGUGGGUGUGGAUGAGUGGCGAACGGGUGAGUAACACGUGAGUAACCUGCCCCCUUCUUCUGGAUAACCGCAUGAAAGUGUGGCUAAUACGGGAUAUUCUGGGUCUGUCGCAUGAUGGGUCUGGGAAAGAUAUUGUUUCGGUGGGGGAUGGGCUCGCGGCCUAUCAGCUUGUUGGUGGGGUGAUGGCCUACCAAGGCGGUGACGGGUAGCCGGCCUGAGAGGGUGGACGGUCACACUGGGACUGAGACACGGCCCAGACUCCUACGGGAGGCAGCAGGGGGGAAUAUUGCACAAUGGGCGCAAGCCUGAUGCAGCGACGCCGCGUGAGGGAUGGAGGCCUUCGGGGUGUGAACCUCUUUCGCCAGUGAAGCAGGCCUGCCUCGUUUGUGGGUGGGUUGACGGUAGCUGGAUAAGAAGCGCCGGCUAACUACGUG